rnacentral:tRNA from 1 species
GGUAGUGUAGAGCUCAGUGGUGGAGUAUGUGCUUAGCAUGCAGGAGAUCGUGGGUUCAAUCCCCAGUACUUCCA